rnacentral:lncRNA from 1 species
ACUUCAAACGGUGAGUGGAACAGGUUUGAGCAGCAGGUGGGAGAAAAGAAAUACACUUGAUGUGUCCUUUUCCUACCCCAUGCUCCUGGCAGUCCACAGAAUCAGGGGGAAAGCCAGGAUUUGGCAAAAUGAAAUGGAGACAUUGUAGAACCUAACCCAUCUACUGUCCUUAUUGCCAGAGUCUCAUUGUCACCCCCUAGAAUUUAUGGAAAUUGGCCCCUCUUUUACAAAGAUGGAGAUAAUUGGGUGAUUGGGGAGAACCUGGUGGAAUCGGUACCCUUGGGUGCUAAUCCCAGCUCUUCCUCUCUUUGGGAGAGGGCUUAUCCUCUGGACCCCGUUUUCUCCACUUACAAAAUGGGGAGACUCCUCAGCAUUUUCUGAAAUGCAGACACAUAUGAGGUCAAAGGUGGAUGCGUGUUUUGACUUCUCAGAAGAAAGCACUAUGGAAAUCCAAGAUCAUCCAUGGAGUCAACGAGAAAAUCUCAGUCCAAGCCUAUGAGACCCAAGUGAAAUUCAUCUUUGAGUUGAUUCAGAAUGCUGACACAGACCAGGAGCCAGUUUCUCACCUGCACAAACUGUGAGGUCAAGGGGCCUGCUGGGUUAGGCAUGCCCGACCCCGGGACAGGACUAACCCAAGGGGGAAAGCUAGUGUUGAUGAAACUUUUGAUCAAAACCACAUUGUAAAACAUUGCCCAUCUGUCUUGCUCACUCUUAAACUCUCCCAAGAACAAGGCCGGGGUAAGGUAAAGUCAGCAGAAAUCUGGCUUCUCCCUUCCUCCCGACAUCUGCAUCCCUUGAUCCACUGGCAUUUGCUGCCCUCUUGUCCCUUAUCUGUCUUAUGCUGGUUAUUUCACUGCUUCACCUUCCA